rnacentral:rRNA from 1 species
UAUGUAGGUGGCAAGCGUUAUCCGGAUUUAUUGGGCGUAAAGGGAACGCAGGCGGUCUUUUAAGUCUGAUGUGAAAGCCUUCGGCUUAACCGGAGUAGUGCAUUGGAAACUGGGAGACUUGAGUGCAGAAGAGGAGAGUGGAACUCCAUGUGUAGCGGUGAAAUGCGUAGAUAUAUGGAAGAACACCAGUGGCGAAAGCGGCUCUCUGGUCUGUAACUGACGCUGAGGUUCGAAAGCGUGGGUAGCAAACAGG